GCGAGGGCGGCGGAGGCGCGGCCGGGCGGGUCCCAGGGCCGCGGUUCUCCAGCGCAGGAGUCCCCAGCGCACCCGCUGCGCUCGCCCCGCAGCCGCAGCCUGAGCGGCCGAAGUCGCCACCAGCUGUGUCCGCGCAGAUCCCAGGCGCGGAGGGGAGAGGUCGCCCGCUUGUCGCCCCCGCCGGACGCCGGGCACCGCGUAGCACCCGAGCGCCACCCGGACGCGGGGCCCUGGGGAGCGGCUGAGGCCGAAGACCCGAGGGAAGGAGGAGCCCGCGGACUGCUGCAGCCCCAGACUAUUUUCUGUGAGUCCUGAUCAAGUGAUACAAAUGAGCUGCAAUGGUGACAUAAACUCUUGACUGAGAUUGGAAAAGUAGCUGGAACACCAUCUUUUCUUUUAACUUUUUAUGGUGCUUCUAUUGGCAUAGUUGGGGAAAGUACCUACAACAUGAGUUUUAUCAUGAAGCUUCACAGACACUUUCAAAGAACAGUCAUUCUGCUUGCCACUUUUUGUAUGGUGAGCAUUAUCAUUUCUGCUUACUACCUGUACAGUGGCUACAAACAGGAAAAUGAACUCUCUGAGACGGCUUCAGAAGUUGACUGUGGCGACCUCCAACACCUACCAUAUCGGCUAAUGGAAGUGAAAGCAAUGAAGCUUUUUGAUGCCUCAAGGACAGACCCCACAGUCCUAGUAUUUGUAGAGAGCCAGUACUCAUCUCUUGGUCAAGACAUCAUUAUGAUUCUAGAAUCAAGUAGAUUCCAGUAUCACAUUGAAAUUGCCCCUGGAAAGGGAGACCUCCCAGCGCUUAUAGACAAAAUGAAAGGCAAAUACAUUCUCAUUAUUUAUGAGAAUAUUUUAAAGUAUAUAAAUAUGGACUCCUGGAAUCGAAGCCUUCUAGAUAAAUACUGUGUAGAAUACGGUGUGGGUGUCAUUGGAUUCCACAAAACUAGUGAGAAGAAUGUACAGAGCUUUCAGUUAAAAGGUUUCCCUUUUUCCAUAUAUGGAAAUCUUGCAGUAAAAGAUUGUUGUAUUAAUCCUCAUUCUCCAUUGCUUCGUGUGACCAAAUCUUCCAAGCUUGAAAAAGGUUCUUUACCUGGAACUGACUGGACAGUUUUUCAGAUUAAUCAUUCAGCCUAUCAACCAGUAAUAUUUGCCAAAGUAAAGACCCCAGAAAACCUUUCUCCUUCCAUCUCUAAAGGUGCUUUUUAUGCCACUAUCAUACAUGACCUGGGGCUUCAUGAUGGAAUUCAAAGGGUUCUGUUUGGCAACAACUUGAACUUUUGGCUGCACAAGCUCAUCUUCAUAGAUGCCAUCUCCUUCUUAUCAGGGAAGAGGCUGACAUUGUCCUUGGACAGGUACAUUCUUGUGGAUAUUGAUGAUAUAUUUGUGGGAAAAGAGGGAACAAGAAUGAACACCAAUGAUGUAAAGGUAAGGCUCUAUUUUCUCAAGUUUCAAAGUUCAGUUCAUCUCCCAGCAGGGAUACAACCAUCCCAGUUUGUACUACAACUGGGUUACCCAGGACAUGGGAUUUAUUGGGAAAGUCUGGGCAAUCUAGGAUUAUCACUCACCCUAAAUCAACUAAGAAGAUUAUAUAUUUCUAUCUGAAUCAAGAAAAAUAAAGAUUUUACUAAAAGAUUGAGUGUGGCAGGAUCCUGAAAUGGUUUUCUACAUGUAUUUACAACUAGAGUAGAAGUCAUUUUGUUUAAUUACUUUCCAGAAACUAUCUACCUCUAAAAAAACUAUUACUAAUCUCAGACUUAGCUCAUUUAAAUAUGAAAUUAAAGUGAAUUUGUCUUAAUGAUAAUAAAUAUUUCCACAAAUUUCAAGAAUUAUAGAUCUCAUGGUAGCAAGUUCAGAUACUUUUGGAAGUCAAAUAUGCAGUGCAUUUUCUCUUAUAUGUUUCUGAAACUGAAAAUCAGUACUACUAAAUAUGAAGAUCAAUGACUGUACAAGCAUAUUUAUUCACAUAUAAACAUGAGGAUUUAACUUGAUUUCAGUGAACACUUCUGACACAUAUAUGAAGCCAAUCAUGCUGAAUUUAAAUUGUAUUACAUUUCUUAUUGUGUAAAACUGCUGCCCUUAAACAAAAAAACAAUUAUUUGAAAUAGUUUGUCAUUAUUAUGAGUUGAUUGUGUUAUAUAAACAGCUGAUUGUUCACUAUUAAAAAAUUUUAAAAUUA
rnacentral:sRNA from 1 species